rnacentral:misc_RNA from 1 species
UGUACCCCCCCCCCCCUCCCUCAAAACACCAAACCAUCCGCCAUAACUUCAGCGCAAACUAGGAUGGGGCUAAAGGGCUAGCCAAAGCCCGAGAACUGAGGAACUCUGGAUACCAGAGGGACACCCCUCAGAACCCCUAAACAAAAAUCAAAAUCAAAAUCGAUUUAAUGGAUGACAACCGGCACUAGGAUUAUCAUCAUGAGAGCCGAAAUCCAACCAAAUCGUUAAGUUUUAAGAAAAGAAAUUACUAAAAGUCAAUAUAUCUACUAUUUUUUAUUGUGAUAGGACAAAACAAAAGUGAGAUGACACGUUUCCCACGAACAUCAGCUGGGCCGCUGAUGUUCGUUGAUAUUUCCGCACAACUUCGCAACAUCAUCCACGUGAACAUGUUUAAUUCGUAGAAGAGGCAGUGAUUGCCCUGUUGUUAAAGUCUGCAGUAUUUAUGGAUCUUGAACAGUCAAAUCAUCAUUUCUAGAUUUCGGUCUUCCCUAUGGAAAUGAAAUCUUGCAACUUUGCAAAAUUAAUACUGGCAGCAAUUAAUGAAGCUCGAAAUAACAGAGAAUUGUUGACAUCAUUAAUAUCAAGUGAUUUAGCCUUAAUCAGUGGGAACUGGAAGAGUAUCACAAUGGACAUUAAGACAUCCACAACAACGAUCCUAUUACGGUUCAAACUGAUAACGUUGGCUUCCAGCCGAGCUAUUUCUGGAACACACAGGUCUUCCAUUUCAUCGCCUGCUAUAGCCAUAACAAACAGCUGAGUGGGUUCGCUACGACGCGUGUUUACUUUGACUUGUAUUUUUACAAAUACUAAAUCGAACGUUGAAGAAAUCCAGAUGAUUAAGUUAUGUUAGACUUUUCGCUCUUGUUGUUGUAACCUUAAUACCACACCAAGCAUCAAAUGUUUUUGGUCUGUUUUUUAUUUGAGAUAAAUCUUCCUUGCUCAACUUU